rnacentral:rRNA from 1 species
UUGAUCAUGGCUCAGAACGAACGCUGGCGGCGCGUCUUAAGCAUGCAAGUCGAACGGCAAGAGGUAGCAAUACCUCCUAGAGUGGCGGACUGGUGAGUAACACGUGGGUGACAUACCCUUCAGAUGGGGAUAGCUAUUAGAAAUAGUAGAUAAUACCGAAUACGAGCACAGGGGUUAGAGAUCUGUGAGGAAAGGAGCUAAGGCUCCGCUGAAGGAAUGGCCUGCGGCCCAUUAGCUAGUUGGUGAGGUAAGAGCCCACCAAGGCGAUGAUGGGUAUCCGGCCUUAGAGGGUGAACGGACACAUUGGGACUGAGAUACGGCCCAGACUCCUACGGGAGGCAGCAGCUAAGAAUAUUCCGCAAUGGACGAAAGUCUGACGGAGCGACGCCGCGUGGAUGAAGAAGGCCGGAAGGUCGUAAAAUCCUUUUGAAACUGAAGAAUAAGCGUUGUAGGGAAUGACAGCGUGGUGACAGUAGGUUUUGAAUAAGCAACGGCUAAUUACGUGCCAGCAGCCGC